AUGCCGAAGCAGGCAGGCAACAGCCUCGAAGCUCAGGAAGGUAUUUUAUGCCAGAGAGGCCGGCUCCCUCCAGGCCAGUGGCCAGGAGAACCAGGCCGGGAGGGACCCUGGACAGCCAGCCUUGGCCUUCAGUGCAGCCCCAACCUCCUCCCCACUCCCGCCUUUCCUCUCCCCCAGCUCAGGAGCAGCAGCAGCAGCAGGCUGGGCGGGGGAGCUGACGUCAACCUGCGGCCCCUGCUCCUGACCUGCGGCGGGGUGCGGUGGCGCCGGUGCCGGCCCACUAGCGGCUCGGCGGCCGGCGACCUGCUGAUGGAUGGCCGGCCUUGCCCUGUGCCCUCCGGCCGCAUCCACAAUGGCGUCCAGUGUCCAGGAGGCCCAACUCCUGUGCACACAGCAGCCCUCCGUCCAAUCCGGCUCCCCGCCGCCGGUCCGCUCACGCCGCCUGCACCCUGGACUGGGCUGGGAGCCGCUGCUCUUGGCAGCUGCUCUGUGCGCCCGCAAACAAACACAGCUUUCCCCUUGCCUGCCCUCCUGUCUGCUUCCUCGGGUGCUCCCUUGCUCCCAGGCUCUUCUGGUGAACUGCCGACAGACACCCCGCAGGGUUGCGACUUCCAAGCCAGGCCUCCACCAGAGAGGCGCAGUGCCCCGCCCUGCGCUGCGGGCCGAGGCCGCCCCCUCCUGGGAGGCCUGGGGGCGGGGGUCCCCGAGCAGCCGAGGUGCAGAGGCUGCCCGCGCUGCGAGCGCCUUCCGGGCUCGCCGUUCCCACCAGCCUGGCCUCCUCGCCACGCAUCUGUUUUCAUUUUCUUAGUGUUUCAACUCGGCUCUCCCCCCACCCCCGCGUCCUCCCUCCCACUCCCAUGGAAGACGGAAGAUGGAUUUCAUCUGCAUCCUGAACGAGGGCGGGGCGCACUCACACUGGGGACACGGGGAACACCAAGUGCGAACUGUCCCCUGGGCUGUCCCUGGAGGAACAAAAGCAAUGCUUUUUUUUUUUUUUUUUUUUUUUAA
rnacentral:lncRNA from 1 species